rnacentral:rRNA from 1 species
UGCCAGCAGCCGCGGUAAUUCCAGCUCCAAUAGCGUAUAUUAAAGUUGUUGCAGUUAAAAAGCUCGUAGUUGGAUCUCGGGUCCGGGCUCGCGGUCCACCUCGCGGUGGUUACUGCCCGUCCCGACCUACCUACCGGUUUUCCCUUGGUGCUCUUAACUGAGUGUCUCGGGUGGCCGGAACGUUUACUUUGAAAAAAUUAGAGUGUUCAAAGCAGGCGCUUCGCCUGAAUAAUGUUGCAUGGAAUAAUGGAAUAGGACCUCGGUUCUAUUUUGUUGGUUUUCGGAACUCGAGGUAAUGAUUAAGAGGGACAGACGGGGGCAUUCGUAUGAUGGUGUUAGAGGUGAAAUUCUUGGAUCGCCGUCAGACGAACUACUGCGAAAGCAUUUGCCAAGAAUGUUUUCAUUAAUCAAGAACGAAAGUCAGAGGUUCGAAGACGAUCAGAUACCGUCCUAGUUCUGACCAUAAACGAUGCCGACUAGCGAUCCGCCGGAGUUGUUUCAAUGACCCGGCGGGCAGCUUCCGGGAAACCAAAGUCUUUGGGUUCCGGGGGAAGUAUGGUUGCAAAGCUGAAACUUAAAGGAAUUGACGGAAGGGCACCACCAGGAGUGGAGCCUGCGGCUUAAUUUGACUCGACACGGGAAAGCUUACCCGGCCCGGACACCGUAAGGAUUGACAGAUUGAGAGCUCUUUCUUGAUUCGGUGGGUGGUGGUGCAUGGCCGUUCUUAGUUGGUGGAGCGAUUUGUCUGGUUAAUUCCGAUAACGAACGAGACUCUAGCCUAUUAAAUAGUUCGCCGAUUUCGAUCUGUCGGCGUUAACUUCUUAGAGGGACAAGUGGCUUUUAGCCACGCGAGAUUGAGCAAUAACAGGUCUGUGAUGCCCA